rnacentral:rRNA from 1 species
CCUACGGGUGGCUGCAGUGGGGAAUAUUGCACAAUGGGGGAAAGCCUGAUGCAGCAACGCCGCAUGAGGGAAGAAGGUACUCGGAUUGUAAAGCUCUGUUAGCAGGGAAGAGGAAGGACGGAACCUGCAGAGGAAGCCACGGCUAAAUACGUGCCAGGAGCCGCGGUAAUACGUAGGUGGCAAGCUUUGGUCGGAAUAACUGGGCGCAAAGGAUGCGUAGGCGGUUUAACAAGUUAUAUGUUAAAUAUAUAGGCUUAACCUGUAGAAAGCAUAUAAAACUGUUUAACUAGAGUGCAGGAGAGGUAAGUGGAAUUCCUAGUGUAGCGGUGAAAUGCGUAGAGAUUAGGAAGAACACCAGUGGCGAAGGCGACUUACUGGACUGUAACUGACGCUGAGGCAUGAGAGCAUGGGGAGCAAACAGGAUUAGAUACCCCAGUAGUC